CCCGCCCCUCCGCUGCGUGCCGCCACCACCGGCUCGCGCUCCUUCGCCGCGCGCCGCCCUGGUCGCCGCCACCGGCCUUUCAUCGCCUCAACGCCCGACGCCUGAAUCUCGCAGGCUCGCCGCACACGUGCUCCCUUGCCAAGUUCGUCCAGGCGGCCGCCAUACUCGUCGCCAUUGCCGAAUUCCCCUACGGCGCCAAUCUCAAGAGCCCCGAAAACUUCUUUGACAACUUGAUUCCGUGCAUCUCGGCUCGAUUACUUCAAUGAGGAGGAAGAUGACGACGUGGCGGAGCUCCUGGACACGGCCGCCUGACCCGGGGACGGCGGGGAGGUCUUCAGCGACGGUGGCCUCUGGUGCAUGCGGAGGUCUAUGUGGAGGCGGAAAUUUAAUUCGACCUCACCUUGGGCUGCCGUCCUCCCCAAGUUCCUGCUGCCGGCGGCCUCCCGAAGCUCCAGCCCACCUCCUCCCCGAGCCCCAAGCACGAACAAGGAAACCUUGACACACGCUUGCGUCCAGUAGCUCGAUCUGCUGAUGCUAGGAGGGGAUUACCAUUAGAGCUGCAGCCGGUGCUGAGCACUCAUAGUUUCAGAUCUAUUGAUUGAUUCUUGACAUCAACGCACUGAAUGGGCUCAGAAACGGAGAAGUGCCAUGGUGUACUGUGGGUUUCAGCCUUUCUGGAGAUGCAUAGUUCAACAAUAUUCUGUAUUAUUGGAGCAAGCUUUUCAUCCAUAAAUUCUAAGGUCACUUACCUUCUCUUUCUUUUCAUCUGCAAUUCUAUGUAAUGCGCGGCCCCUUUCUUCAAAGUUAUUUGCUAA